rnacentral:misc_RNA from 1 species
AGCAGCCGCGGUAAUUCCAGCUCCAAUAGCGUAUAUUAAAGUUGUUGCAGUUAAAAAGCUCGUAGUUGAAUUUCGGGAUUGACACAUCGGUCGUGCCUUAAGGGGUAUGAACUGGUGUAGUCAAUUUCUCACCUUCUGGAGAACCGCGAUGCCCUUAAUUGGGUGUCGCGGGGAACCAGGACCUUUACUUUGAAAAAUUAGAGUGUUUAAAGCAGGCAUUUUGCUUGAAUACAUUAGCAUGGAAUAAUAAAAUAGGACGGCAUGAUUCUAUUUUGUUGGUUUCUAGGAUCACCGUAAUGAUUAAUAGGGAUAGUUGGGGGCAUUAGUAUUCAAUUGUCAGAGGUGAAAUUCUUGGAUUUAUUGAAGACUAACUACUGCGAAAGCAUUUGCCAAGGAUGUUUUCAUUAAUCAAGAACGAAAGUUAGGGGAUCGAAGACGAUCAGAUACCGUCGUAGUCUUAACCAUAAACUAUGCCGACUAGGAAUCAGACGAUGU